rnacentral:rRNA from 1 species
UGGCGGAGUGAUUUGUCUGGUUAAUUCCGUUAACGAACGAGACCCCUGCCUGCUAAAUAGUCCGGUGAGUGAAUUUCACUGAUUAGGACUUCUUAGAGGGACGUGCAUUCUAUUAGAUGCAGGAAGAUAGGGGCAAUAACA